GAUGAACGCUGGCGGCGUGCCUAAUACAUGCAAGUCGAGCGAACAGACGAGGAUCUUUCUCCUCUGACGUUAGCGGCGGACGGGUGAGUAACACGUGGAUAACCUACCUAUAAGACUGGGAUAACUUCGUGAAACCGGAGCUAAUACCGGAUAAUAUAUUAAACCGCAUGGUUCAAUAGUGAAAGACGGUUUUGCUGUCACUUAUAGAUGGAUCCGCGCCGCAUUAGCUAGUUGGUAAGGUAACGGCUUACCAAGGCAACGAUGCGUAGCCGACCUGAGAGGGUGAUCGGCCACACUGGAACUGAGACACGGUCCAGACUCCUACGGGAGGCAGCAGUAGGGAAUCUUCCGCAAUGGGCGAAAGCCUGACGGAGCAACGCCGCGUGAGUGAUGAAGGUCUUCGGAUCGUAAAACUCUGUUAUUAGGGAAGAACAAAUGUGUAAGUAAAUAUGCACGUCUUGACGGUACCUAAUCAGAAAGCCACGGCUAACUACGUG
rnacentral:rRNA from 1 species